rnacentral:lncRNA from 1 species
AAAUAAAAUGGAAAAAUAUCUUUUAUAGGAUUUUCACACCCGUAAUCUGUUAUAGAAAACUUACUUUUGAAAUUAAAUAGAAAAAUUUAUAUUUUAAGAUUUUCACAUCAGUAAUCUGUUAUAGAGAAUUUACGUAUUCAUUGCUGUUCUAUUUCUAUUUUUAUUCUUAUAUUUAAAAUUUUUCGUACGGAAAGAGAAAAAUGAGCGCUAAUUUUCCUGCCGAAAAAUGGGUCUGUCGAUAGACCCAAAUUUGAAUAUACGUGCUUUUAUAUAUAGUAUAGAUAUAAUUCAAAAUUCAAAAAGAGAGGAA